GGAGGGGUUCCCGAGUGGCCAAAGGGGGCAGACUGUAAAUCUGCUGGCUCCGCCUUCGGAGGUUCGAAUCCUCCCCCCUCCA
rnacentral:tRNA from 1 species